GAUGAACGCUGGCGGCGUGCCUAAUACAUGCAAGUCGAGCGAACAGACGAGGAGCUUGCUCCUUUGACGUUAGCGGCGGACGGGUGAGUAACACGUAGGUAACCUACCUAUAAGACUGGGAUAACUUCGGGAAACCGGAGCUAAUACCGGAUAAUAUUUCGAACCGCAUGGUUCGAUAGUGAAAGAAGGCUUUGCUAUCACUUAUAGAUGGACCUGCGCCGUAUUAGCUAGUUGGUAAGGUAACGGCUUACCAAGGCAACGAUACGUAGCCGACCUGAGAGGGUGAUCGGCCACACUGGAACUGAGACACGGUCCAGACUCCUACGGGAGGCAGCAGUAGGGAAUCUUCCGCAAUGGGCGAAAGCCUGACGGAGCAACGCCGCGUGAGUGAUGAAGGUCUUCGGAUCGUAAAACUCUGUUAUUAGGGAAGAACAAACGUGUAAGUAACUGUGCACGUCUUGACGGUACCUAAUCAGAAAGCCACGGCUAACUACGUG
rnacentral:rRNA from 1 species